rnacentral:tRNA from 1 species
UGGGCCAAUAGCUCAGUUAGGUUGAGCGCUCGGCUGAUAACCGGGAGGUCCGCGGUUCAAAUCCGCGUUGGCCCAUCCA